rnacentral:rRNA from 1 species
UACGUAGGGUGCAAGCGUUAAUCGGAAUUACUGGGCGUAAAGCGUGCGCAGGCGGUUUUGUAAGUCUGACGUGAAAUCCCCGGGCUUAACCUGGGAAUUGCGUUGGAGACUGCAAGGCUGGAGUCUGGCAGAGGGGGGUAGAAUUCCAUGUGUAGCAGUGAAAUGCGUAGAGAUGUGGAGGAACACCGAUGGCGAAGGCAGCCCCCUGGGUCAAGACUGACGCUCAUGCACGAAAGCGUGGGGAGCAAACAGG